GCUCGAGUGUUAGUUUUGUGUGACAGCUUUGAAAGCACCUCACAGCACACUCUUACAUCACUAGCUGACUGACUGCAUGUAGGGUAAUUCAAUUAUAACUCGAGGUGCUGUUCACAAGUAACCAUAUGAGUGAACCACAGACAGCAACUGCACAGCACAUACGUGAGCCAUCUCUAAAAAUACCCGCAGCACACAUCCGCUGCCACACUCGGGAGCCUUGCAUUCAGCACAUGCAUUUCUGAAAGCUGCGGAUCGACCAGCCCGCCACCCGAGCACCGGACACCAAGUUCCCUUGCACUCAGCCGGCCGGCAAACAGGAUCAUGUGGCACCGAGGACGAGCACUGGACACUACAGGGUUCAGCACUACACAGAGCACCGUUCAAUAAAUACACCCUCCGGGGCUUCACUUUGCACAAAACCCUGUCGUGUGAUUCUUCAGCCCGUUACAAUAGCUUAAGGAUACAUAUUCAUGUUUAGUAUGUAUGUGUUUGAAUCUUUUUUUGCUUGAAAUGUUUCUGACUAUCAGUUAUUUGUCGAAUGUAUCAUAUUCGUGUUAUAGGAAUCAUGUCCAAAAUUAUACCCUGCAAAAGCGGAUUCGGACCACGUGCUUUAUAAGAUAAAAUAUGAUUUAUAAUACCCCAAGCAAAGACAAUAUCUAAUUGGUCAAGACAACAUUCGAGGUGUGGCCAAAAGGCCAGUUUAAAUACUCAGGACACCAUCAAACUCUGUUUUUAGCUUUUAGCUUGCGUUUAGCUUUUGCUAUCAAUCAUGCUGGUUUUUAGCUUGUAGCUUUGCUUUUAGUCAUGCUUUUAGUCAUCACUGUUAGCGUUCUUUGUGCGCGGUUCAUGCGAGCUUCGGCCUGCACACUUGCUGCUACUUCGCCACGAUGAGAAGAAACACCACCUAGUCUCGUCAAACUACUUCUGUUCUUUUACUUUAGUUUCUUUUCUUUUCUGUUAAGAGUUCCGUGUUCUGAGAUAAGUUUUGUAACACCGUGUCUCCGAGUCUGACCUCGAGUACCUGUUCAACUUCAACCAGCCACACAACUCCGCAUUUUCAGCCAAUGCCCAAUCACGGGCUUCCCAAGACAUCACUUCAACCACUACUGAACUUCCAGCCAAUCAGCAAUAUCGGGAAACCCCCUUUUCAACGACAACAAAGGGAACCCCUUUACA